rnacentral:rRNA from 1 species
GACGAACCGUGCGAACGUUAUUCGGAAUCACUGGGCUUAAAGCGCGUGUAGGCGGGACGGCACGUCGGUCGCUGAAAUCCCCCGGCUUAACCGGGGAACUGGCGUCGAUACGACCGUCCUGGAGGGGCGUAGGGGGACCUGGAACUUCCGGUGGAGCGGUGAAAUGCGUUGAGAUCGGAAAGAACACCAACGGCGAAAGCACUCUGCUGGGCCGACACUGACACUGAGAGACGAAAGCUAGGGGAGCGAAUGGG